rnacentral:rRNA from 1 species
UACGAAGGGUGCAAACGUUGCUCGGAAUUAUUGGGCGUAAAGCGCACGUAGGCGGCUUUGCAAGUCGGAUGUGAAAUCCCUCGGCUUAACCAAGGAAGUGCAUCCGAAACUGCAGAGCUUGAGUACUUAAGAGGAUCGCGGAAUUCCCGGUGUAGAGGUGAAAUUCGUAGAUAUCGGGGGGAACACCAGUGGCGAAGGCGGCGAUCUGGGAAGAUACUGACGCUGAGGUGCGAAAGCGUGGGGAGCAAACAGG